AGCGAACGCUGGCGGUAGGCCUAACACAUGCAAGUCGAACGAAGUCUUCGGACUUAGUGGCGGACGGGUGAGUAACACGUGGGAACGUGCCUUUAGGUUCGGAAUAACUCAGGGAAACUUGUGCUAAUACCGAAUGUGCCCUUCGGGGGAAAGAUUUAUCGCCUUUAGAGCGGCCCGCGUCUGAUUAGCUAGUUGGUGAGGUAAAGGCUCACCAAGGCGACGAUCAGUAGCUGGUCUGAGAGGAUGAUCAGCCACACUGGGACUGAGACACGGCCCAAACUCCUACGGGAGGCAGCAGUGGGGAAUCUUGCGCAGUGGGCGAAAGCCUGACGCAGCCAUGCCGCGUGAAUGAUGAAGGUCUUAGGAUUGUAAAAUUCUUUCACCGGGGACGAUAAUGACGGUACCCGGAGAAGAAGCCCCGGCUAACUUCGUGCCAGCAGCCGCAGUAA
rnacentral:rRNA from 1 species